AUGGCAUGAGGGAAGGUUGCUGUCCAGACUCAUGGCCUCUCUUUCCAGCUGUUCCACUACGUUGGAGGAUUCCAUAAGGGAAUCACUCGUCUUGGAACGGAAGAGCUGCUCCACGUGCUGCAGGAGAGUGAACAGCUCAUCGCAUGGCCGUGCACACUGGCAUUCCUCACAGAGCGAGAAGCUGAUGACCCUCUUCACUACGUAUCCUGCCAGGUGGUAGAGGACACAAGACUCGGUCUUUGUGAGGUCAGGUGGUGAUGGGUCUACCAGCUGCUCCACUCUCACAACCUCAGAAGCACUGCAGUUGCUGUUCUUGUUGUCCAAGAAGUCCGCCAAGUGGUCUGAUGCAUCAUCCAGAUCUUCCUGGAUCUCCAGGAUCGUUGUUGUGGCCAU